rnacentral:sRNA from 1 species
GCCGGGCGUUGGUGGCGCACACCUUUAAUCCCAGCACUCGGGAGGCAGAGGCAGGUGGAUCUUUGUGAGUUCGAGACCAGCCUGGUCUACAGAGCUAGUUCCAGGAUAGCCUCCAAGACAAUACAGAGAAACCCUGUCUUGAAAAACAAAAAACAAAAAAAAGAGACAGGGUUUCUCUGUGGCUUUGGAGGCUGUCCUAGAACUAGCUCUUGUAGACCAGGGUGGUCUCGAGUUCACAGAGAUCCACUUGACUCU